AUCUGAUCUCCAGCUCAGUCUGUAGAGCGUGAGACUCUUAAUCUCGGGGCCAGGGGUUUGAGCCCCCUGUUGGGUG